UACGUAGGCGGAAAAUUAAGUCAGUAGUGAAAUCCCGCAGCUUAACUGUGGAACUGUUAUUGAUACUGGUUUUCUUGAAUUUAGUUGAGGUAGGCGGAAUGUGUAAUGUAGCGGUGAAAUGCUUAGAUAUUACACAGAACACCGAUUGCGAAGGCAGCUUACUAAGCUAUGAUUGACGCUGAGGUACGAAAGCGUGGGGAGCGAACAGGAUUAGAUACCCUGGUAGUC
rnacentral:rRNA from 1 species